rnacentral:rRNA from 2 species
UACGGAGGGGGCUAGCGUUGUUCGGAAUUACUGGGCGUAAAGCGCACGUAGGCGGCGAUUUAAGUCAGAGGUGAAAGCCCGGGGCUCAACCCCGGAAUAGCCUUUGAGACUGGAUUGCUAGAAUCUUGGAGAGGCGAGUGGAAUUCCGAGUGUAGAGGUGAAAUUCGUAGAUAUUCGGAAGAACACCAGUGGCGAAGGCGGCUCGCUGGACAAGUAUUGACGCUGAGGUGCGAAAGCGUGGGGAGCAAACAGG